rnacentral:rRNA from 1 species
AUUGAACGCUGGCGGCAGGCCUAACACAUGCAAGUCGAGCGAGCGGCGGACGGGUGAGUAAUGUAUGGGAAACUGCCCGAUGGAGGGGGAUAACUACUGGAAACGGUAGCUAAUACCGCAUACUAUCAGAUGUGCCCAUCUGGGAUUAGCUAGUAGGUGGGGUAAAGGCUCACCUAGGCGACGAUCCCUAGCUGGUCUGAGAGGAUGAUCACCCACACUGGGACUGAGACACUGUCCAGACUCCUACGGGAGGCAGCAGUGGGGAAUAUUGCACAAUGGGCGAAAGCCUGAUGCAGCCAUGCCGCGUGUAUGAAGAAGGCCUUAGGGUUGUAAAGCACUUUCAGCGCGGAGGCGUUACUCGCAGAAGAAGCACCGGCUAACUCCGUGCCAGCAGCCGCGGUAAUAC